rnacentral:rRNA from 1 species
CUAGGAUGAACGCUAGCGACAGGCUUAACACAUGCAAGUCGAGGGGUAACAGGGUAGCAAUACCGCUGACGACCGGCGCACGGGUGAGUAACGCGUAUGCAACCUGCCUAUAACUGGGGAAUAGCUCCCUGAAAGGGGAAUUAACACCGCAUAACACUAUUGAUUCGCAUGGAUUAGUAGUUAAAUGUAGCGAUACAGGUUAUAGAUGGGCAUGCGUGACAUUAGCUAGUUGGUGAGGUAACGGCUCACCAAGGCUACGAUGUCUAGGGGUUCUGAGAGGAAGGUCCCCCACACUGGUACUGAGACACGGACCAGACUCCUACGGGAGGCAGCAGUGAGGAAUAUUGGUCAAUGGGCGCAAGCCUGAACCAGCCAUGUCGCGUGCAGGAAGACUGCCCUAUGGGUUGUAAACUGCUUUUAUAGUAGAAGAAACACAUCUACGUGUAGAUGUCUGCCAGUAUACUAUGAAUAAGCAUCGGCUAACUCCGUGCCAGCCGCAGC